rnacentral:rRNA from 1 species
GAUGAACGCUGGCGGCGUGCCUAAUACAUGCAAGUCGAGCGAACGGACGAGAAGCUUGCUUCUCUGAUGUUAGCGGCGGACGGGUGAGUAACACGUGGAUAACCUACCUAUAAGACUGGGAUAUCUUCGGGAAACCGGAGCUAAUACCGGAUGAUAUUUUGAACCGCAUGGUUCAAAAGUGAAAGACGGUCUUGCUGUCACUUAUAGAUGGAUCCGCGCUGCAUUAGCUAGUUGGUAAGGUAACAGCUUACCAAGGCAACGAUGCAUAGCCGACCUGAGAGGGUGAUCGGCCACCCUGGAACUGAGACACGGUCCAGACUCCUACGGGAGGCAGCAGUAGGGAAUCUUCCGCAAUGGGCGAAAGCCUGACGGAGCAACGCCGCGUGAGUGAUGAAGGUCUUCGGAUCGUAAAACUCUGUUAUUAGGGAAGAACAUAUGUGUAAGUAACUGUGCACAUCUUGACGGUACCUAAUCAGAAAGCCACGGCUAACUACGUG